CUUGAACAAUUUUUUUUAAAUAUUAAAGGAAACUAUAUGAAGGAUGAACAAUUAGUCAUCACUAAUUGUGAGGUUAUCUAGAAAGAGCCAAAGGUUAUUGGUAGAGGAAAAGCAACAAGAAAUGUGGUGAAGAGGAACUUGCUCUAGAAACGUUGAAACUGUGCAUAUUGAGUUCUAAAUAGUACCAAAAAUUGUCUUGGAAACUAUUUAAUUGAAACUGUAGGAAAGAUGUACAAUAAUCUAGAUUCAUCAUUAAUUAUGAGGUUAUCUAGAAGGAGCCAAAGGAUAUUAAUAAAGGAAAAGUAACAAGAAACGUCGUGAAAAGGAGCUCGCUCUAGAAACGUUGAAGCUGUGCAUUGAAUUCUAAAUAAUACCCAAAAACUAUCUCGGAAACUACUUAACGGAAACAGCACAAAGGAUGGACAAUUAUUUAGAUUCAUCACUAAUUGUGAGGUUAUCUAGGAGGAGCCAAAGCCAAAGGAUUUUAAUAGAGGAAAUGUUAUAAAGAGGAGCUAGCUCUAGAAAGGUUGAAGCUGUACAUAUUGCAUUCUAAAUAAUACCCAAAAACUGUCUUGGAAGCUUCUUAAUCUCUAAAAACUUUGAAGCUGGCCAAUUCUAUUUCAAGUAAUUCCAACAAUUGUCUCGGAGAUUAUAUUAUUAUAACGUGAGUGUUUUCUAUGUAAUCUAAUGUUUCAACAUUUCUUAUUCCUGUAAUUCUUCAUGAAUAUAUCGUCAUUAGGAUCAUUUCCUCUAAAGAAAUGUUCGUUUUUGUGUCCAAAUAUGUGCAUGCAUAUCAUUAUAUAAAAAUAAACUUGUAAUUAUUA
rnacentral:lncRNA from 1 species